rnacentral:lncRNA from 10 species
CAGGUGGCCUGCAGUGCCAAGCUGUUUCCCUGCCAGCCUCCCAGUCUGGCCCUGACUCUCCAAUGUGUCACAGAAUAAAGAAAAAGACUGGGAGAGAGAUGGGAGCUGAUAGACCAGAGGAGACCAAAGACUGAAACUGAAGACUAAACCAUGGAAAUUGGGAACAAGCACUUACUCGCUUAGAGGGUGAAAAAAGUGAAUUUGCCUACAGGGCCAAUUUGGAAGCACCUCUCCCUGGAAGCCAGUCAAUGAAGAGCCAUUGGAGGAUUUUAAAUAAGGAACCGAAAAAUGGAGUCUGAAAAUAGAGGCGCAGAGACCGGUCAACCACAAUGAAGAACAAGCCAUUUUGACCUCCAUCCUGGCUCAUCUCCUCUGUGUUCUCAUAGCAUCAUAUUAUAGAAUGGAUCACAAACGCCUUUGCAGUUGCCUAUUUAUUUGUCCAUUUCUCCCUCCAGACUGCCUUUGUGAGAAAAACACCCAAAUGCCACAAGUGCAUCCCCAGGGAGGUGCAGGGUGGCAGGAGCUGAGGAUGCAAAAACAUAAUUGCUUUCUAUCUACUCUGAUUUGAGCUUCAUCAAAUCCUUUGGCUCCCAAGGCAUUCUGCAGCAGAUGUGUGCACAAUAUUCCAGCACUAGGACUUGUGUCUGCGGGUACUGCUCGAGGCCCAAGAGUCUGAGGGUCUGCAAAGCCUCCAAGCCCUUCCCCUUCCUCCCAGGCCUCAGGGCCUGUGCUGGCCACCCUCCUAUACAGCCCUUACUUGGCAUUCUUGCUAAGUCCUGUGGGGGCUCCAUCCUUGACUCUUUUCAUUCCACGCUGAUGUCUUCUGGGCUCUGCGCCUCAGGGGAGAACUUGCAAUGCUAGUAAUAAACAAAGAGUACUCAUGAUAA